CUGGUUUUCCCUUCGCAGAACGAAUAAAUCUUUCGCCUUUUACUAAAGAUUUUCCGUGGGAGGGGAACAACAUGGAUGAGAUCUGUAACCAAUUUUUUAGUCAGUGGCACCGGCCUUUA